rnacentral:lncRNA from 10 species
UGUUUACCUAAGCAAGCCUGGGCAAUGGCGGGCGCCCCUCCCCCAGCCUGGCUGCCGCCUUGCAGUUUGAUCUCAGACUGCUGUGCCAGCAAUCAGCAAGACUCCAUGGGCGUCGUAGGACCCUCUGAGCCAGCAUAACAAGAGUUCCAGCAGAAGAAGACUGACAUUUAGUGGACCGGAAGUUGCGCUGUACCUGAGAGCACCGAGAUAUAACAUAAGAAGCCAUCUUGGAAUUAAAGUUGUGGAAUGGAAAUGUGGCUUCAGCCUGGCUGUGUAUCACAUCCUUCUGGUUAGGGGCAUUGCUGCAGGAAUCUGUUUAUUCUCAAUUCAAGCCAAGAUGUACUGAUUGCUCUGACCUCCUCUCGUAAACAGGCAUUCUACUGGAACGUGUAAGAUAAUUUUUGCCAUCUGUCAUUUUCUUCUUCUUGAGAAAGGAGGAGAAUUACUGAGAAACAAGAAAAUGAAAGAAGAUCAAAUUUGCAGGUGAAUAAUCAUGACCCAAGUGGAACUGAGGAAAGUGUGCUGAAACCUGUUGGAGAACCCAUACAAAGAAGUUGGGAUGCAGAAAAGGAAGGCAGCCAGAAUCUGGACUUUCUUGCAGUUGGGUUAUGGCCAUGUGAAUAAUUCUUGUCAAUGAGAAUGUGAGUGAAACUGAUAUGUAAUUGCUGGUCUGAGGCACUUAAGAAAUAAAGUAAGUUUUCUGUGCUUUCCUAACCUCAUGGCUGGA